CCUACGGGGGGCUGCAGUGGGGAAUAUUGGACAAUGGGCGAAAGCCUGAUCCAGCCAUGCCGCGUGCGUGAAGAAGGCCUUCGGGUUGUAAAGCACUUUCAGUGGGGAAGAAAGCCUUGGGGCUAAUACCCUCGAGGAAGGACAUCACCCACAGAAGAAGCACCGGCUAACUCCGUGCCAGCAGCCGCGGUAAUACGGAGGGUGCGAGCGUUAAUCGGAAUUACUGGGCGUAAAGCGCGCGUAGGCGGUCUGAUAAGCCGGUUGUGAAAGCCCCGGGCUCAACCUGGGAACGGCAUCCGGAACUGUCAGGCUAGAGUGCAGGAGAGGAAGGUAGAAUUCCCGGUGUAGCGGUGAAAUGCGUAGAGAUCGGGAGGAAUACCAGUGGCGAAGGCGGCCUUCUGGACUGACACUGACGCUGAGGUGCGAAAGCGUGGGUAGCAAACAGGAUUAGAUACCCUGGUAGUC
rnacentral:rRNA from 1 species